rnacentral:rRNA from 2 species
GUCCUUUAGGUAAUUAUAAUUUAAGGUCUAACCUGCCCAUUGAUAAGUUAAAAGGCCGCAGUAAUUUGACUGUGCAAAGGUAGCAUAAUCAUUAGUUUUUUAAUUAAAAGCUUGUAUGAAUGGUUGGACGAGAUAAAAUCUGUCUCUUUAUAAAAAAUAGAAUUUAAUUUUUAAGUUAAAAAGCUUAAAUUUAUAUAAAAGACGAGAAGACCCUAUAGAUCUUUAUAAAAUUUUUUUUAAUAUUAAUAAAGAAAUUUUAAUUUAUUAUAAAAAUUUUUAUUAUAUUGGGGUAAUAAAAAGAUUAAUAUAAUUCUUUUUUUUAAUAACAAUUAUUAUUGAUUAUAUGAUCCAUUAUUAAUGAUUAUAAGAUUAAGUUACCUUAGGGAUAACAGCGUAAUUUUUUUAGAGAGUUCUUAUCAAUAAAAGAGUUUGCGA